rnacentral:rRNA from 1 species
AUUGAACGCUGGCGGCAUGCUUUACACAUGCAAGUCGAACGGUAACAGGCCUUCGGGUGCUGACGAGUGGCGAACGGGUGAGUAAUGCAUCGGAACGUACCCAGAGGUGGGGGAUAACGCAGCGAAAGCUGUGCUAAUACCGCAUGUGAUCUGAGGAUGAAAGCGGGGGACCGAGCAGCAAUGUUUGGCCUCGCGCCUUUGGAGCGGCCGAUGUCGGAUUAGCUAGUUGGUGGGGUAAAGGCCUACCAAGGCGACGAUCCGUAGCUGGUCUGAGAGGACGACCAGCCACACUGGGACUGAGACACGGCCCAGACUCCUACGGGAGGCAGCAGUGGGGAAUUUUGGACAAUGGGCGCAAGCUUGAUCCAGCAAUGCCGCGUGCGGGAAGAAGGCCUUCGGGUUGUAAACCGCUUUUGGCAGGAACGAAACGGUGUCCGCUAAUACCGGGCGCUAAUGACGGUACCUGCAGAAUAAGCACCGGCUAACUACGUG